GACGAACGCUGGCGGCGUGCCUAAUACAUGCAGGUAGAACGCACAGUUUAUACCGUAGCUUGCUACACCAUAGACUGUGAGUUGCGAACGGGUGAGUAACGCGUAGGUAACCUGCCUGGUAGCGGGGGAUAACUAUUGGAAACGAUAGCUAAUACCGCAUCAUAUUGAUUAUUGCAUGAUAAUUGAUUGAAAGAUGCUAUUGCAUCACUACCAGAUGGACCUGCGUUGUAUUAGCUAGUAGGUGAGGUAACGGCUCACCUAGGCGACGAUACAUAGCCGACCUGAGAGGGUGAUAGGCCACACUGGGACUGAGACACGGCCCAGACUCCUACGGGAGGCAGCAGUAGGGAAUCUUCGGCAGUGGACGAAAGUCUGACCGAGCAACGCCGCGUGAGUGAAGAAGGUUUUCGGAUCGUAAAGCUCUGUUGUAAGAGAAGAACGGGUGUGAGAGUGGAAAGUUCACACUGUGACGGUAGCUUACCAGAAAGGGACGGCUAACUACGUG
rnacentral:rRNA from 1 species